GGGGCUCAUGUCUAUUCUCUGGGCCCUAGGCAGCCGUACAAUGCUACCUUAGGUUUAAUCCUGCUUUGUCAUUGUGACCAUUCCAGAGAUCUAUUGACGUUGCUCUAAAUAUAUUGGAGAGAUGCGUAUUUAGUGGUCUUGUCCAAAGCUGCAAGACCGCUGUACCUGAGAUUAUCAGCAAACUCUCACAUACCCCACCCCCGUUUUCAGUUUUGAGCCAGCUACCAUGCUCCUUUACCA